UACACGACUCUCGGCAACGGAAAUCUAGGCUCUCGCAUCGAUGAAGAACGUAGCAAACUGCGAUACUUGGUGUGAAUUGCAGAAUCCCGUGAACCAUCGAGUCUUUGAACGCAAGUUGCGCCCGAAGCCAUUAGGCCGAGGGCACGUCUGCCUGGGCGUCACGC
rnacentral:rRNA from 1 species